rnacentral:rRNA from 1 species
AUUGAACGCUGGCGGCAGGCCUAACACAUGCAAGUCGAGCGGAUGAAGGGAGCUUGCUCCUUGAUUUAGCGGCGGACGGGUGAGUAAUGCCUAGGAAUCUGCCUGGUAGUGGGGGAUAACGUCCGGAAACGGGCGCUAAUACCGCAUACGUCCUACGGGAGAAAGCAGGGGACCUUCGGGCCUUGCGCUAUCAGAUGAGCCUAGGUCGGAUUAGCUAGUUGGUGAGGUAAUGGCUCACCAAGGCGACGAUCCGUAACUGGUCUGAGAGGAUGAUCAGUCACACUUGAACUGAGACACGGUCCAGACUCCUACGGGAGGCAGCAGUGGGGAAUAUUGGACAAUGGGCGAAAGCCUGAUCCAGCCAUGCCGCGUGUGUGAAGAAGGUCUUCGGAUUGUAAAGCACUUUAAGUUGGGAGGAAGGGCAUUAACCUAAUACGUUAGUGUUUUGACGUUACCGACAGAAUAAGCACCGGCUAACUUCGUGCCAGCAGCCGCGGUAAGAC